GCAAGGGAUAUCAGCCAUGAACAAGUUGUGUGGAUAUCAACGUCUUACAGGUUGCGCCAACGUGCAUAGUCCGAUAUAUAUGCGCACAUACGUCCCACAGCACACCCUGUAAAGUGUUGGUAUCUGCUCAAUUUGUUCAUGGCAGACAUCCCUUGC
rnacentral:pre_miRNA from 1 species